rnacentral:rRNA from 1 species
AGGGGAGCCGGAGGGAAACCGAGUCUUAACCGGGCGUUAAGUUGCAGGGUAUAGACCCGAAACCCGGUGAUCUAGCCAUGGGCAGGUUGAAGGUUGGGUAACACUAACUGGAGGACCGAACCGACUAAUGUUGAAAAAUUAGCGGAUGACCUGUGGCUGGGGGUGAAAGGCCAAUCAAACCGGGAGAUAGCUGGUUCUCCCCGAAAGCUAUUUAGGUAGCGCCUCGUGAAUUCAUCUCCGGGGGUAGAGCACUGUUUCGGCUAGGGGGCCAUCCCGGCUUACCAACCCGAUGCAAACUGCGAAUACCGGAGAAUGUUAUCACGGGAGACACACGGCGGGUGCUAACGUCCGUCGUGAAGAGGGAAACAACCCAGACCGCCAGCUAAGGUCCCAAAGUCAUGGUUAAGUGGGAAACGAUGUGGGAAGGCCCAGACAGCCAGGAUGUUGGCUUAGAAGCAGCCAUCAUUUAAAGAAAGCGUAAUAGCUCACUGGUCGAGUCGGCCUGCGCGGAAGAUGUAACGGGGCUAAACCAUGCACCGAAGCUGCGGCAGCGACGCUUAUGCGUUGUUGGGUAGGGGAGCGUUCUGUAAGCCUGUGAAGGUGUGUCGUGAGG